CCUUUGACGUUAGCGGCGGACGGGUGAGUAACACGUGGGUAACCUACCUAUAAGACUGGGAUAACUUCGGGAAACCGGAGCUAAUACCGGAUAAUAUUUCGAACCGCAUGGUUCGAUAGUGAAAGGUGGUUUUGCUAUCACUUAUAGAUGGACCCGCGCCGUAUUAGCUAGUUGGUAAGGUAACGGCUUACCAAGGCGACGAUACGUAGCCAACCUGAGAGGGUGAUCGGCCACACUGGAACUGAGACACGGUCCAGACUCCUACGGGAGGCAGCAGCG
rnacentral:rRNA from 1 species